rnacentral:piRNA from 1 species
AAACAGACAGCACUCGUCACAUGAGG